AGAAUCAACGCUGGCGGCGUGCCUCAGACAUGCAAGUCGAACGCGAAAGUUCCCUUCGGGGGGCGAGUAGAGUGGCGCACGGGUGAGUAACACGUAGGUAAUCUACCUUUGGGUGGGGAAUAACAGCCGGAAACGGCUGCUAAUACCGCAUAAUGCAGCGGCUCGACAUCGAGACAGUUGUUAAAGCGGGGGAUCGUAAGACCUCGCGCCUAAAGAGGAGCCUGCGGCGGAUUAGCUAGUUGGUAAGGUAAUGGCUUACCAAGGCAGUCGAUCCGUAGCCGGCCUGAGAGGGCGGUCGGCCACACUGACACUGACAUACGGGUCAGGACUCCUACGGGAGGCGGCAGUCGGGAAUUUUGGGCAAGUGGGCGCGAAGCCUCGACCCAGCAACGCCGCGUGAAGGAUAGAACUCCCGUCGGAUAGUAAACCUUCGACAAGAACAAGAAGAAGUAAGGUAGGGAACGAACUACCCCC
rnacentral:rRNA from 1 species